rnacentral:rRNA from 1 species
GGGUUGUGAGGUUAAGCGACUAAGCGUACACGGUGGAUGCCCUGGCAGUCAGAGGCGAUGAAGGACGUGCUAAUCUGCGAUAAGCGCCGGUAAGGUGAUAUGAACCGUUAUAACCGGCGAUUUCCGAAUGGGGAAACCCAGUGUGACUCGUCACACUAUCAUUAACUGAAUCCAUAGGUUAAUGAGGCGAACCGGGGGAACUGAAACAUCUAAGUACCCCGAGGAAAAGAAAUCAACCGAGAUUCCCCCAGUAGCGGCGAGCGAACGGGGAGGAGCCCAGAGCCUGAAUCAGCAUGUGUGUUAGUGGAAGCGUCUGGAAAGGCGCGCGAUACAGGGUGACAGCCCCGUACACAAAAGCGCAUGUGUUGUGAGCUCGAUGAGUAGGGCGGGACACGUGGUAUCCUGUCUGAAUAUGGGGGGACCAUCCUCCAAGGCUAAAUACUCCUGACUGACCGAUAGUGAACCAGUACCGUGAGGGAAAGGCGAAAAGAACCCCGGCGAGGGGAGUGAAAAAGAACCUGAAACCGUGUACGUACAAGCAGUGGGAGCACCCUUCGGGGUGUGACUGCGUACC